rnacentral:SRP_RNA from 1 species
GCUGGGCAUUGUGGCGGGUGCCUGUAGUCCCAGCUACUUGGGAGGCUGAGGCAAGAGAAUCACUUAAGUCUAAGAAUUUGAUCUUGCUGUGAGUUGUGAUGCCCCGGCACUCUACUGAGGGUGACAUAGUAAGAUUCUGUCUCAAAAAAAAAAAAAAAAUUUGUAUUUAAUAAGUAUUCGUUCUUUUUUUCAACACAGAGUCUCACUUUGUUGCCCUUGGUAGAAUGCCCUGGCAUCACAGUUCACAGCAACCUCAAACUCUUGGGCUCAAGUGAUUCUCUUGCCUCAG